rnacentral:lncRNA from 1 species
CGUGACUUCCCUUUUUUAAAGGUAAAAUUUGAAGUUAGCAUUCAAAGUAAUGAGUUUCAUUAUGGUGGCCUCAUAAAUAUAUCACUAUACUUCUUUAAUUUUUAAAUUCGAUGUGUUAGGUGUUUUGCCUGCAUGUAUAUCUGUGCACCACAUGUGUGCCUGGUGCCUGCAGAGGCAGAAGAGGGCAUAAGAUCCUCUGAGACUGGAGUUACAGAUAAUUGUAGGCUGCCAUGUGGGUACUGAGACUUGAGCCCCAACCCUCUGGAGAGGAGCCUAUGCUUGUAACUGCAAAGCCAUCUCUCAGCCCCUGUAUACUUGACUCUUACUGUCCCCACCCUCCUGCCCCCUCUUGCUUUCUCUGUCCUUUCCCCAAAUAGUCCCUCGCACUGGGAUAUCCUCUAUUAUACUCUAUGUUCUCCUUGCCUUUCUCCCAUCGCUCUUCCCUCGCUCGUUUGGUCUCCUUUUAAAUUCCACCAAACAGUUGAAUAAAACCCUCUUGUGCUUAUGGAUCACAUUUUCUUUAUACAUUCACCCAUUGCUGGAUGGCUACCCUUGUUCUGUUUCUUAGUUAUUGUGAGUAGUAUUAUAGUAAACAUGGCUCUGGGACCAUCUCUGUGCUAUGUUGACUUAAGUUCUCCAGUUAUACACUGGAUCACCACAUGAUGAGGGAACUGAUCAUCAUGUGGCGAUCGUUCUAUUUUUAGUUUUUUGAGGCACAUCCAUACAGAGUUCUAUAGUGGCUGCAUGUGAUGGUUAGUGUUCUCCACUUGACAGAAUCUAGACUCACUUGGGAGAUGGGCCUCUGGCAAGCCUACGGGGAUUAACUCAAUUCAUUGAUGUAGGAAGACCCAUCUUAAUAUUUUUAAAUUUUUAUUCAUUUUUUAAGUGUGUGUGUGUGUUCACUGCCCAUCUAUGCUAGAAGAGGGCAUCAGGUCCUCUGGAGCUGGAGUUACUGAUGGUUAUGAGCCACCAUGUAGAUGUUGGGAAUCAAACUUGGGUCCUCUGCAAGAGCAGCCAGUGUUCGAAACCACUCAACCAUUUUUCAAGCUCACCCUGUUGUAAUACUUUAUAUUACUCUCUCUCUCUCUCUCUCUCUCUCUCUCUCUGUGUGUGUGUGUGUGUGUUUAGGUUUGGGUGCUGUGGGUUCGUGUGGAAGUCUGAAGACAACUUGAUGGAGUUAGUUCUGUCCUUGGAUCCCUGGAUCAGUCCCAGCUGCUGUGGCUGAGAUGUGAUGAGCCAUGUGAAUUGAGGGCAAGACCAUCCCUGGGCAGGGAAUUCUGGGGAUGGGCAGUUGUGUUCAUUCAUCACUGACUUCUGAUCUCAGCCAUAAUGUGGCCACCCGAUUCCGCGUGCCUUGACUUCCCCAUGAUGGGUGAUGGUUUGAUGGUACUGUGAGCUAAAACACCCCUCCCUUCCCAAAGCUGGUUUUGUUGGAGCAUUUUAUCACAACAACAGAAGAGGAACAGACUUUCAUUUCUCCCAGUCACGAAAAAUGGAAAUGGAAAUGGUUUUGAGAGGUCAUCUCAUCCUGGUCAGAACAACUAAGGUCAACAGAACAACUGGCAAGCGAUGCAGCUGAGUCUGUGAGGAAGGAGCCUCGCCCCCUGUGAGGAAGGAGCCUCGCUCACUGUUGGGGGGUUUAAACUAGUGCAGUCACUCUGAUAAUCAACAUGGAGAAUCCUCAAAGAAUAUAUCUACAUAAGACCCACCUAGACCAUUCCUUGUCACAUGCUCCAAAAGAACUCCACAUCUUACUCCACAGACACUUGCUCAGCCGUGGUCAUAGCUGCUCUAUUCACAA